rnacentral:tRNA from 1 species
GCCAAUGUAGCUCAGGGGUAGAGCACUUCCUUGGUAAGGAAGAGGUCAUGAGUUCAAUUCUCAUCAUUGGCU